AUGGCGUACCAUGGCCAGGACCAGAGAGUGCAGAGGGUUAUGGUACUGCCCAUCAACCUCAUCUUCAGAUACUUACAAAAUAGAUCAUGGAUUCAGGUGUGGCUCUAUGAGCAAGUGAAUAUGUAGAUAGAAGGCUGUAUCAUUGGUUUUGAUAAGUAUAUGAAUCUUGUAUUAGAUGACGCAGAAGAGAUUCAUUCUAAAACAAAGUCAAGAAAACAACUGGGUCGGAUCAUACUAAAAGGAGAUAAUAUUCCUCUGCUACAAAGUGUCUCCAAC
rnacentral:lncRNA from 1 species